rnacentral:lncRNA from 1 species
AUCUCUGGCUAUAUAUCCUAACUCGUCACACCGAUAACAUCUGGUCUUACUCAAGUCUCUCAUCUUGGACUUGAACCGCCCUCAUUGCGAUCUCUUAUCGCUCUGUCUACUACCUCCUGCUCCUUCAAAAACCAUCAAAACUGAGCUGUCGCUUGAGCUCAAAACUAGAUUCUCUCUCUUGAGAGCCUUAUUUUGAAGAAUCACUGUAGUAACCUCAUCCAUCUUGAUGGUACUCUUU